rnacentral:lncRNA from 1 species
AGGGAAGCACUGUCCUACAUCAUAUGUGACAGGCUCUCAUAGUCACCAUCAUCACAGGAAUCUUGUGCAUGUUACAGGGAAGCACUGUCCUACAUCGUAGGUGACAGGCUCUCAUAGUCACCAUCAUCAAGGGAAUCUUGUGCAUGUUACAGGGAAGCACUGUCCUACAUCAUAUGUGACAGGCUCUCAUAGUCACCAUCAUCACAGGAAUCUUGUGCAUGUUACAGGGAAG